rnacentral:rRNA from 1 species
GACGAACGCUGGCGGCGUGCUUAACACAUGCAAGUCGAACGGUGAAGCGCCUUCCUUUUUGGUGGGUGUGGAUGAGUGGCGAACGGGUGAGUAACACGUGAGUAACCUGCCCCCUUCUUCUGGAUAACCGCAUGAAAGUGUGGCUAAUACGGGAUAUUCUGGGUCUGUCGCAUGAUGGGUCUGGGAAAGAUAUUGUUUCGGUGGGGGAUGGGCUCGCGGCCUAUCAGCUUGUUGGUGGGGUGAUGGCCUACCAAGGCGGUGACGGGUAGCCGGCCUGAGAGGGUGGACGGUCACACGGGGACUGAGACACGGCCCAGACUCCUACGGGAGGCAGCAGUGAGGAAUAUUGCACAAUGGGCGCAAGCCUGAUGCAGCGACGCCGCGUGAGGGAUGGAGGCCUUCGGGUUGUGAACCUCUUUCGCCAGUGAAGCAGGCCUGCCUCGUUUGUGGGUGGGUUGACGGUAGCUGGAUAAGAAGCGCCGGCUAACUACGUG